rnacentral:rRNA from 1 species
UACGUAGGGGGCAAGCGUUGUCCGGAAUCAUUGGGCGUAAAGAGCGCGUAGGCGGCCCUGUAAGUCCGCUGUGAAAGUCAAGGGCUCAACCCUUGGAUGCCGGUGGAUACUGCAGGGCUAGAGUCCGGAAGAGGCGAGUGGAAUUCCUGGUGUAGCGGUGAAAUGCGCAGAUAUCAGGAGGAACACCGGUGGUGAAGGCGGGUCUCUGGGCAACUACUGACGCUGAGGAGCGAAAGCCAGGGGAGCAAACGGG